rnacentral:lncRNA from 1 species
GAAGCAUUUUGAAAGGUAAACUGGUGGGGGCGAUGGGGUUCAGAUAUUCUCUGAGACCGGGAACGUCACUGCUCUCCCCGGGAAGCUGCUUUAGGCACAGUGCUCCUGCCUGACUCGGGAAGACUGCUCUCCUGGCCUCCUGGAAGUCAUAUGGGAAACAGGGCAACAUCAAACAGAAGGAAACAGAAGACAGAAGACCCAGAGCAACAGGAAUGUGCCUUUGAAGCCCUAAGCUGCCAUAUAUAUGGCUACUGUGAACACGCUGGCUACUGUGCUACAAAGAUCACACGGAGAGAACAGAUACAGAGAAACAGAGAGAGAUUCCUGGGGAACCCUAGCUGCUUCAGUUCCUAGCUUUUGAGGCAUCCCAAACCAGAGGCCAGAUGCGUGAAUGAAUGAGCUCUUGGAUGAUGGCAGCUGCAACCUUUUAGUCUUCUAGCUGAGGCCCCACACACUGUAAAACAGAGAGAAAAAAAAACCCAGUGUCUUGUCUGAAUUUCUGAAACACGAAAUUUAUGAGCAU